rnacentral:lncRNA from 1 species
CAGAACUAGGUCUGCAUGUGUCUAUUUUGCAGGGGACGGGGAGAUGAAAGUUGUUAGGAUAAUUUUUACUCUUACUUGUUCAAGAUUGUUAGCAUAUAUGUAUGCAUUUAUUGCCUGCCUUGUUCCAAAAGGAUUUAAGGAAGCUCCCUCCCACCCUCAUCACAGAAAGUAGAAUAAAACAAGAACCACAUGAGGAUUUGAAGCUUCCCCAGAGUAAAG